rnacentral:rRNA from 1 species
CUCUGUGACUCCUACGGGAGGCAGCAGUGGGGAAUAUUGCACAAUGGGCGCAAGCCUGAUGCAGCCAUGCCGCGUGUGUGAAGAAGGCCUUCGGGUUGUAAAGCACUUUCAGUCGUGAGGAAGGUAGUGUAGUUAAUAGCUGCAUUAUUUGACGUUAGCGACAGAAGAAGCACCGGCUAACUCCGUGCCAGCAGCCGCGGUAAUACGGAGGGUGCGAGCGUUAAUCGGAAUUACUGGGACGUAAAGCGCAUGCAGGUGGUUUGUUAAGUCAGAUGUGAAAGCCCGGGGCUCAACCUCGGAAUUGCAUUUGAAACUGGCAGACUAGAGUACUGUAGAGGGGGUAGAAUUUCAGGUGUAGCGGUGAAAUGCGUAGAGAUCUGAAGGAAUACCGGUGGCGAAGGCGGCCCCCUGGACAGAUACUGACACUCAGAUGCGAAAGCGUGGGGAGCAAACAGGAUUAGAUACCCUGGUAG